CCUACGGGUGACAGCAGUGAGGAAUAUUGGUCAAUGGACGAGAGUCUGAACCAGCCAAGUAGCGUGAAGGAUGACUGCCCUAUGGGUUGUAAACUUCUUUUAUAUGGGAAUAAAAUGUUCCACGUGUGGGAUUUUGUAUGUACCAUAUGAAUAAGGAUCGGCUAACUCCGUGCCAGCAGCCGCGGUAAUACGGAGGAUCCGAGCGUUAUCCGGAUUUAUUGGGUUUAAAGGGAGCGUAGGUGGAUGGUUAAGUCAGUUGUGAAAGUUUGCGGCUCAACCGUAAAAUUGCAGUUGAAACUGGCAGUCUUGAGUACAGUAGAGGUGGGCGGAAUUCGUGGUGUAGCGGUGAAAUGCUUAGAUAUCACGAAGAACGCCGAUUGCGAAGGCAGCUCACUGGACUGCAACUGACACUGAGGCUCGAAAGUGUGGGUAGCAAACAGGAUUAGAUACCCGAGUAGUC
rnacentral:rRNA from 1 species